UGAAGCAGAAGCUGAACCUCACAUUUGCAGCAAGUUUGCAGUAUCAAUGUGACUGUCCAUCAUCUCUGAGUCUCUGCAAAAGUGAAGUGAUCUCUUCAACAUGUCUCUACAUCUCAAGAAGCGCUACUCCACCUCUAAACCUUGCAGCUGCAAAUGUCCACUAAAGCUCAACAAUUGCUCUUAUUCGAUUUGAUUCUUAUAUACGCCCAGCCACGAAUAGAUAGUGUUCAUCACAACACGAAAUUCGAAAACGAACGAUCAACAACAACAAAAAGCACUCGACAGUCAUCUGAUUUAUAUCAGACAUUAUUAUUAUGUUAGAGAGGGGCCCCUCACAGCAGUCAGUGUCUUUAUUCAUUUUUGUGACAGCAGUAUAUCACAACAAGUGGCAGUAUCUGCACUGACUAAUAAAAUGAUCUGACAACACGAGACCACUGGGUGGAAUAUUGAAGUCAAGUCUAUCCACUACUGAACUAUUGUGAACUAAUGAAGUCUAUCUGAACUAUAUUGAAGUACUGAAGUCUAUCCACUACUGAACUAUUGAAGUACUGAACUAUUGAAGUCUAUCCACUACUUAUGAAGUCAAGUCUGGAACAUUUCUACUAACAUGACUGACACUGACACUGGCUAUCAACACUGCAGAUGGUGGUACUCACGCACAGGCUGGUUGUGGUCUGAUAGUUAUAACGAGCCUUAUACGUACUGUUAUCAAGCCUUAAAUCGUGUCUACUAAUGUCUACCCCCUAAUAAUCUAUUUCUCGCACUGCAUAGUUCUUGCUCUGGGGGACCAACUGGCAGAUCUGACACUGCACUGAAGAUGGUGACAUUUCAAGAAUCUACAUGAUUAUUAUGGGUAGUAGUUUGGCAUUAGAUAGUUAUCAAGCAAGCCUUGUGUAUUAGCAUGUAUGAGUACUAUCAGGCACUCCUGGUACUAUAUUGAUGUGUCCUAACCUAUUCUUACACUACAUGGUUCUUGCUCUGGAGGGGACCAACUGGCGAAAUUUCUAUAGAAAAGACUCUUUUAUGUCCGACACACUGGAUACUGGCAGCAUAUCGAGAACCUACAUAUCGGUUGUGGUCUAACGAUUAAUAUAUUGAGCCUUACACCAUUCUAUCAAGCCUUGUGUAUAUUCGUACAUGCAUGAUUACUGAUGCCUACCCCAACAACCAACUGCUUUACUAUAGUCUGUCUCUUUCAAACCUUGCAUCCCUGUAGAACCACUCACCAGCUGCAUGUAUUGUGUGCUUCAGACGUACCUAUAGUAUACUUCCUAUAACCUAUAGCUAUUCUAACCAAAUUCUCCCACUACAUGGUUCUAGCUCUGGAGGACCAACCGGCAGAAUUUCUAGAAAGACUUGUUUAUUCGACAUGCUGGACGAACUACUUGUGGCAUUUCACUAUCAAGAAUCUACAUGUCGCUUGUGGUGGUCUGACAAUUAUUCUAAAUAAUAAUAAUUCUUAUUUGAGCCUUAUACAGUAACAAGCCUUGUGUGUUACAUGACAUGAGUACCUAACCCCAUGCAUGCAUGUACCCUCUAAUAAUCUAUUUCUCCCACUACAUGGUUCUAGCUCUGGAGGACAAUUGGCGGAAUUUCUAUAUAGAGAAAAAACUCCAUAUUACAUCUGACAGUAGAGGGACUGCUGGUGACAUCUACGUAUCGGUUGUGGUGGUCUGAUAAUUAAUUCUAAAUAUUAAGCUUUUAUAUAAUUAUACAGUUCAAGCCUUGUGUAUUGUAAUUCCAUGUAUGAGGUAGUACUACGUAUGUGUCCUAACCCUGCCCUUCACACUACAUGGUUCUGGCUCCAGGGGACCUACUGCACUGCACGUCACAUACUAAAGUCAAUAUUAAUUGCAAGCUACUGAAGUCAAGCAUGAAACAUAUAUCUAUACUGAUUUACAUCACCAAAUCCCACAAACACUGAUGGAAUAAGCAACAAUGUCCUCCUCCUCAACCACGACUAGCUGCUGCAAUGAACCAUCAUACAUAACAUCACAAUCAUACUUUUGGGGCGCCCCAACAUUUUUCAUUUCUUUUUCGUUUGUCAUACUGUAAAUGAAAAAUGAACUCGAUCUACUGGUUCUCUGGAGGGGGAGUGGUCAGACCACACCCUACUACAAAGGUGGCCACACCCACAUGAUGGCCACACCCUCAUGUUAGGCAACAGCAACUCCUACAUGAGAAUCUCCAUUGGAUAGCAAAUUCUAACCACCUGGAUGUAACAGAACCUUCUAAUUAGUCUCGUGGCCAGACUACCUUCUAAUAACCUGGACUGGGACAGCCUCUAGAUAUCCCAGAUGGUCCCAUGGGUGGAUGGGUGGGGGGCCAGCGAUGCAGUGCCACAUACUCGCGACGGUGCUGGCUGUCACACUGCAUGGAGGGAGGACUCUCUCUCUGCAUGGAGGGAGGACUAUCUCUCUGCAUGGAGGGAGGACUAUCUCUCUCUCUCUGGUGUGCAAGAGCACUGCAAACUGAACAAUAAUUAUGAUAAUGAACAUACAAACAUUAUUGAACAUUAAUUUUUAACAUUAAUUUUACAAUGGUUGAAAAUGAAA